rnacentral:rRNA from 1 species
UACGGGGGGUGCAAACGUUGCUCGGAAUUAUUGGGCGUAAAGCGCACGUAGGCGGUCCUGUAAGUCGGGUGUGAAAGCCCGGGGCUUAACCCCGGAAGUGCACUCGAAACUGUAGGGCUUGAGUAUGGAAGAGGGUCUCGGAAUUCCCGGUGUAGAGGUGAAAUGCGCAGAUAUCAGGAGGAACACCGGUGGCGAAGGCGGGUCUCUGGGCCGUAACUGACGCUGAGGAGCGAAAGCGUGGGGAGCGAACAGG